GAUGAACGCUAGCGGCAGGCUUAAUACAUGCAAGUCGAACGGUAAGUGUUGUAGCAAUAUAACACCAAGAGUGACGUACGGGUGCGUAACACGUAUGCAACCUACCCUUUACAGGAGGAUAGCUCGGGGAAACUCGAAUUAACCCUCCAUAACAUCAUGAUGUGGCAUCACAUUAUGAUUAAAACUCAGGUGGUAAAGGAUGGGGCAUGCGUCUGAUUAGUUAGNGGCGGGGUAACGGCCCACCAAGACGAUGAUCAGUAGGGGACCUGAGA
rnacentral:rRNA from 1 species